GGGGAGCGUUCUGUAAGCCGUUGAAGGUGUCCUGUGAGGGGUGCUGGAGGUAUCAGAAGUGCGAAUGCUGACAUAAGUAACGAUAAAGCGGGUGAAAAGCCCGCUCGCCGGAAGACCAAGGGUUCCUGUCCAACGUUAAUCGGGGCAGGGUGAGUCGACCCCUAAGGCGAGGCCGAAAGGCGUAGUCGAUGGGAAACGGGUUAAUAUUCCCGUACUUGGUGUUACUGCGAAGGGGGGACGGAGAAGGCUAUGUUGGCCGGGCGACGGUAGUCCCGGUUUAAGCGUGUAGGCUGGUUUUCCAGGCAAAUCCGGAAAAUCAAGGCUGAGGCGUGAUGACGAGGCACCACGGUGCUGAAGCAACAAAUGCCCUGCUUCCAGGAAAAGCCUCUAAGCAUCAGGUAACAUCAAAUCGUACCCCAAACCGACACAGGUGGUCAGGUAGAGAAUACCAAGGCGCUUGAGAGAACUCGGGUGAAGGAACUAGGCAAAAUGGUGCCGUAACUUCGGGAGAAGGCACGCUGACACGUAGGUGAAGUGAUUUACUCAUGGAGCUGAAGUCAGUCGAAGAUACCAGCUGGCUGCAACUGUUUAUUAAAAACACAGCACUGUGCAAACACGAAAGUGGACGUAUACGGUGUGACGCCUGCCCGGUGCCGGAAGGUUAAUUGAUGGGGUCAGCGCAAGCGAAGCUCCUGAUCGAAGCCCCGGUAAACGGCGGCCGUAACUAUAACGGUCCUAAGGUAGCGAAAUUCCUUGUCGGGUAAGUUCCGACCUGCACGAAUGGCGUAAUGAUGGCCAGGCUGUCUCCACCCGAGACUCAGUGAAAUUGAACUCGCUGUGAAGAUGCAGUGUACCCGCGGCAAGACGGAAAGACCCCGUGAACCUUUACUAUAGCUUGACACUGAACAUUGAGCCUUGAUGUGUAGGAUAGGUGGGAGGCUUUGAAGCGUGGACGCCAGUCUGCGUGGAGCCGACCUUGAAAUACCACCCUUUAAUGUUUGAUGUUCUAACGUGGACCCGUAAUCCGGGUUGCGGACAGUGUCUGGUGGGUAGUUUGACUGGGGCGGUCUCCUCCUAAAGAGUAACGGAGGAGCACGAAGGUUGGCUAAUCCUGGUCGGACAUCAGGAGGUUAGUGCAAUGGCAUAAGCCAGCUUGACUGCGAGCGUGACGGCGCGAGCAGGUGCGAAAGCAGGUCAUAGUGAUCCGGUGGUUCUGAAUGGAAGGGCCAUCGCUCAACGGAUAAAAGGUACUCCGGGGAUAACAGGCUGAUACCGCCCAAGAGUUCAUAUCGACGGCGGUGUUUGGCACCUCGAUGUCGGCUCAUCACAUCCUGGGGCUGAAGUAGGUCCCAAGGGUAUGGCUGUUCGCCAUUUAAAGUGGUACGCGAGCUGGGUUUAGAACGUCGUGAGACAGUUCGGUCCCUA
rnacentral:rRNA from 1 species